GCCGAGGUAGCUCAGUUGGUAGAGCAUAUCCCUGAAGAGGAUGGGGUCGGCGGUUCGAGCCCGCCCCUCGGCACCA
rnacentral:tRNA from 1 species